AUGAUGCCGACAAAAAGCAAUUACUGGAACGAAACUUGGAUGGUGAUAGAUGUCAACAGAUUUCCGGUGAUUCAUAGUUGGACAAUGCUGGCCGAUGGAAGGGCUUGUGAGGUCACGAUUGGCGUCGCGUUGUUGCAGCGGGGAUGCGAAUCGGAGGGAGAUAUCUCUGGAGGAGAUGGUGUUGUUGCUACACAUUUGAACUUAUGUUGUUUGUAUUUGUCUCUAACAGCUUGCAAAGUGGCCCCUUUCCUACCAAGGUACAAGUCAUGUAUGUUUAGAACACAUUCCUUCAAAUCAGCAGGUUUAUAA